GGUUAAGCGACUAAGCGUACACGGUGGAUGCCCUGGCAGUCAGAGGCGAUGAAGGGCGUGCUAAUCUGCGAUAAGCGCCGGUAAGGUGAUAUGAACCGUUAUAACCGGCGAUACCCGAAUGGGGAAACCCAGUGUGAUUCGUCACACUAUCAUUAACUGAAUCCAUAGGUUAAUGAGGCGAACCGGGGGAACUGAAACAUCUAAGUACCCCGAGGAAAAGAAAUCAACCGAGAUUCCCCCAGUAGCGGCGAGCGAACGGGGAGGAGCCCAGAGCCUGAAUCAGCAUGUGUGUUAGUGGAAGCGUCUGGAAAGGCGCGCGAUACAGGGUGACAGCCCCGUACACAAAAGCGCA
rnacentral:rRNA from 1 species